rnacentral:rRNA from 1 species
ACCCUUAGAUGUUCUGGGCCGCACGCGCGCUACACUGAUGCAUUCAACGAGUUUCUUCCUGGUCCGAGAGGAAUGGGUAACCCUUUGAAAGUGCAUCGUGAUAGGGAUAGACUAUUGCAAUUAUUGGUCUUCAACGAGGAAUUCCUAGUAGACGUAGUUCAUCAGACUGCAUCGAUUACGUCCCUGCCCUUUGUACACACCGCCCGUCGCUCCUACCGAUUGAAUGGUCCGGUGAAGCCUCGGGAUUGUGGUUCUUGCCGCUUUAUUGUGGCGUGACCGCGAGAACUUGUCUAAACCUUAUCAUCUAGAGGAAGGUGAAGUCGUAACA